CCUGGUGGUUAUGGCGAGGGAAGAUCCACCCGAUCCCAUCCCGAACUCGGAAGUGAAAGCCCUCUGCGCCAAUGGUACUUCGUCUUAAGACGCGGGAGAGUAGGUCGCCGCCAGGU
rnacentral:rRNA from 1 species